GACGUAGGAGGCGAGCGUUGUCCGGAUUUAUUGGGCGUAAAGAGCUCGUAGGUGGUUCGGUAAGUCGGGUGUUAAACCCCCAGGCUCAACCUGGGGACGCCACUCGAUACUGCUGUGACUAGAGUCCGGUAGGGGAGCGUGGAAUUCCUGGUGUAGCGGUGAAAUGCGCAGAUAUCAGGAGGAACACCAGCGGCGAAGGCGGCGCUCUGGGCCGGUACUGACACUGAGGAGCGAAAGCGUGGGUAGCAAACAGG
rnacentral:rRNA from 1 species